AACCUGGUUGAUCCUGCCAGUAGUCAUAUGCUUGUUCUCAAAGAUUAAGCCAUGCAUGUCUAAGUAUGAAAUGGAUUAUACAGUGAAACUGCGAAUGGCUCAUUAAAUCAGUUAUAGUUUAUUUGAUAAUAUCUCUUACUUGGAUAACCGUAAUAAUUUUAGAGCUAAUACAUGCGUAAAAGGGUGACUUCGGAAACCCUGUAUUUAUUAGAUACAAAACCAAUCACGCUUGCGUGCUUCCUUGGUGAUUCAUAAUAACUAAACGAAUCGUAUGGCUUUAUGCCGACGAUGAUUCAUAUAAGUUUCUGCCCUAUCAACUUUCGAUGGUAAGGUAUUGGCUUACCAUGGUUACAACGGGUGACGGAGAAUUAGGGUUCGAUUCCGGAGAGGGAGCCUGAGAAACGGCUACCACUUCUACGG
rnacentral:rRNA from 1 species